GACGAACCGUGCGAACGUUGUUCGGAAUCACUGGGCUUAAAGGGCGCGUAGGCGGGUUCCCAAGUUCGGGGUGAAAUCUUUCGGCUUAACCGGAAAACAGCCUUGAAUACUGGGAGUCUCGAGCGAGGUAGGGGCAGCUGGAACUUCCGGUGUAGCGGUGAAAUGCGUAGAUAUCUGGAGGAACACCGGUGGCGAAGGCGGCAUCCUGGACCGGCAUUGACGCUGAGGCGCGAAAGCUAGGGGAGCAAACGGG
rnacentral:rRNA from 1 species